rfam:Salmo salar isolate Sally breed double haploid chromosome ssa26, whole genome shotgun sequence.
GUCCCUGUAGCUCAGUUGGUAGAGCAUGGUGUUUGCAACGCCAGGGUUGUGGGUUCGAUUCCCACGGGGGGCC